rnacentral:rRNA from 1 species
AAACAUUGUUUCUUGUGUUUAAAUGGGAAAUAUUGUCUGCCCACUGAGGUUUUAAAGGGCUGCGGUAUUGCUGACCGUACAAAGGUAGCAUAAUAAAUAGUUCUUUGAUUGGGAGCUGGAAUGAAGGGCUUUAUGAAAAAUCGACUGUUUUAAUUGUAAUAUUAGAAAUUAAUGUUUAGGUAAGAAAGCCUGAGUUAAUUAGUGGGACGAGAAGACCCUAUAGAAUUUUAUUUUGUUAUUGGGGUUAGUUGAUAUAAUAUGUGGUUAUAGAUAUAUAAAAUUUGAUUGGGGUGAUUGAAAAAUAUUUAACUUUUUUUUUAUUUAGUUAUUAAUGAGUAUGAGUUUGAUCCAUGGUGUGAGUGAUUGUAAGAUAAAUUACCUUAGGGAUAACAGCGUUAUUUAUUCGGAUAGUUCAGAUAGAUGAAUAAGAUUGCGACCUC